rnacentral:rRNA from 1 species
GAGUUAUAUACUUAAAAAUUAAAAAAUUUGGCAGUAGUUUAAUCUUUUUAGAGGAACCUGUUUUUUAAUCGAUAUACCGCGAAGAAUCUUACUUGCUCUUGUAAAGUUUAGUUUGUAUACCAUCAUUAUCAGAUGAUUCUAAAAAGAGAAAUUAUUGAAUUUAGUUUAUCUAAGAAAAUUAGAUCAUGGUGCAGCUUAUGGGUAAGUUAAAAUGGGUUACAAUAAAUUAAUUUAAAUGGAAUAUAAUAUGAAAAUUUAUAAUGAAGGAGGAUUUAAUUGUAUUGGAGGUUAAGCAUAUGCCAUCAAGAAAUAAGCUCUAAAUUAUGU